GGAGAAUUACUCAAGAGGCUGAAGAGGACGGUUUGCUAAAUCGUUAGGUCGGGUAACCGGCGCGGGGGUUCGAAUCCCUCAUUCUCCG
rnacentral:tRNA from 1 species